CAGGUGUCCAAACACUUGGUUUAUAAUCACCAUGUCAACUCGGGUACGGUCUUAGUCAUGUACAUAUCCACGGUGGCACGUGGACACUCAUCCUUGUAAGUUGCCCUAUGGCGGCUAAAAUUUUACACACUGUCACGGACACACGUAUAAAGUGCGGUAUAGUAGGAGUACGUUGUAUUUAAGAGCUAUCGGGAUCGAUAUAACGGUCAUUCAAAUCAAUUAGAAGAGAAAAAUCGAACAACUGGCCAUACGCCUAGCUUAGUUUAGUAGUUUAGUUCAAAAUAGACUUUAACCAACUUCAAGUCACUAUAAUAAUUUCAUUACUAUUUUAAUGAAGUUCUUGAAACCAGACACCAUAUAGUUAAACCAAAACAUCAUAAAAUUAAAAAAAAAAAGAAGAUAAGAAUCGAAGAAAUUGUGCAAUUUACAAUCUUCUUAUUAAUCAAUCCUUUGUUUUGUUCAAAGUUGCAUGUGAAUACCUCACGUUUUGUACCAGAUUCUCUUGGAAGAAUUUUUUUGUUGUUGCUUGACGUACAUAAUCAGUUAUCUUAAAAAUAAGAUCUGGUAUGAUUGACAAUGAGACACCCCUCUACCACAGACCAAACGACAUGGAAUUUAAUCACUAUAAGUCACAGUACGGCCUUGAAAAAAUUAGCAAAUUCGCAUGCAUAUUUGUGUCGAUAGUUAAGUAAGGUGAACAUUAUAUACUAGCACAUGUUUAUUUCUAAAUGGGCAUUUAAUUUAAUAAUUAUCAAAUAUGAAUGAAUUAAAAGUUCCGUGUACUUUUACAAAUUUGAAACCCAGAACUCUCUCCCUCCAUAUAAAAAUUUGGCUCUUGGUAAAGGACAAAAAUAUUGGUUUAGAACCGAAAGGAUACGUUUCAAAUAGCUUCGGCAGAGUGCUGGUCACUAGUUUGCUAGUUUGUUGGUUUCUUCUCCACCAAAAUCAAACAAGUGUCUUUAAAACUACAUGCUAUUUGGCACUCUCCUGCAAAGCCUCCAGUCGAAAGGAUUAAAAUCAAAGACUAGACAAUCAUGGCGGAUCCAGAAAUUUUAAUAAGUGGGGGCCCACCGUGACUGUCUAAGAGGGGCCCGCUCUGGUCAUGCUUCAUUGAUUCCCUAUAUAACCAACCAUUUUUUUUCCCAGAAAAGGGGGUGGGGGUGGCCCAGCCUCUAAAUCCGUUUCUGCGGCUGAUUGGUUUAUAGUUGGUGUAUUGGUGCCUCUUUCACCAAUCUGACCAGACAGAUCAACCGACCGUGGCCAGAACACUAGAAAUCCUAGUCAAUUCAAAUCAGAAUCGAACAUACCAGCCACAUGCGGGGUUGGAACUCAAAACCUCAGUGUGGACAGACUAGUGUUAUUGUCGAGAACUUCUUAGACCCCUCGGCAAUCGUGAUCCAGUGAGAAAAAUAUGUGUUCGGAAGGUGGUACAUGUCUUAAAUCCGGAUGUUACCAAUUAUUGUAUUUCAAAAUAUUGCAUUUAUUGUAUUCAAAAUAACAUAUACAUCAACUAGUACUACAAGAAAUUAGAAUCUUUCAACAGGACCGUUAAAAGGUUUCUGGUCUGAUUUUGAAUGACUUUUUUUCAUUUGGUUGAUUUUCAACACAUAUACAUUCCUCAUCAUAUUCAUACUUAAAGGAAUGAUAAUUAUGAUUCUAUGUUUAAAGUCAGAAAAAAAUAAUACUUAACACUCAGUCUGAUAUUUAUGUUGAGAUAUUUAAAAAUGAUUUAGUCGAGUUGUUUCGCAUAUAUUUAUUAAUCAUAACUAAAAUGAUAAAAUAUACAAGAACUACGAAUAAUUUAUUGAUUUUAUCAGUUCAUUAAAGUCGGGGAAUAUAUGAUCAAGAUUUAUUUUUGGGGAUAUCAACAUGCAGUAAACUAGAUAGAUCACUAGGUAUAAAGAAGUCAUUGAAACGAAUAUAUUAAGGGAUGUAUAGUCAGUCAAGGUCGUUAAAAACUUCCAUUUGUUGUAUUUUGAUACCUACAUUUUCGUAGAAGUAGUUGUUACAUGUAUCUGCGCUCCUUGUUAAUGUAACAAUUUGCUGUUCGAAUAUUUUAAUAAUGAGAUAUCUAAGAUUUCAUCUCAUAUAAAACAAAAUACAGCUGGAAUUAAAUUAUCUGAUGGUAUAGAAUGAGUUGAUCAAUUUUGAUACCCGCAAUGAAUUAACGUUACUGGUACAUUUCAUUGCCAUUUUUUUUACGAAUAACAGACUCUUGUUUAAACUUUUUUUGGCGGAAAAGUAGCCAAUAGUAAACAGCUAUAUAUAUACAAGGAGAUCUGUAAUCAUAACAAACUUUCAAUAGCAUUUUUUAACGCGUAAUAGGUAAGAAUAUGGGUUUAUGCUAUCACAUAAUCGAUAUGUUUUUAAGAUUUUAAUAUCUUAAUUUCAUGUUUCCUUUUCUAACAAUUCGUAAAUGUUUAUGAUAAUUGACGCAUUUCUUAACCAUUUUAUGUCUUUUAGUCCGGAUUAAAAAUUACAGACAUAACAAACGCCUUUUCUUCAGCUGUAUUUUCAUAACGAAUUACUUCGAAUAUAUUGUUGAACAGUCAUUAAAUACUCGUCUGAACAAUUGCGAUGUAUACACAGCUACUUUUGCAUAGGUACUAUUUCUGUAACAAAAAAUAUGUAGUACUGGAAAUCUACUUUUAAUAUUCAGUACUGUUUUGUUACUUAAGAAUUAUUGUAAUAUUUAGGUACCUGUAUUUUACAGGACUUGAUUUGUACUUGAAAUUUAAGUACUACAGAUUUUUGGUUGCACGGUUACAUUUUCAGCAUUUUGAAAGUUUGUCUAUUUCAGUUCUCUUAAAGUUAUGAUGUUCAAACAUGGAAUACUGUGAUCAGUUUUUGGUAUUUUUUUGUACAAUAUUUUAAGUACAAAUCAAGUACUGGAAAAUACAAGUACCUAAAUGUUACAAUAAUUUUAAAGUAGAGAAAUUGUACUAAAUAUUAAAAGUAAAUUUCCAGUACUACAGAUUUUCAGUACAGAAAUAGUACAAAAAUAGUAUCUAUCCAAAAAGUAGCUGUGUAGACGUUUUAUAAAAACUUUAACACACGAAAUUGUCAUCGGAAGGAAAUCAUAUUUAGUAUCUUUCUUGCAAAACAAAUACUUUUUGGUGAAUAAAAGUAAGUGAUGCAGUGUUUGCCACCUCCCAUGUAAGUUCACGAAGGAUAAAUCCGGCCCUAAGAAUUUUGAUGUUUUUCUAAUGGGUCCAAAAUGCUACAAAUAUCACAUAGAAAUAGUUGUGAUAUAACUUUUAAUACAAAAUAACUUCUUUUCGGCAUACCACAUUUAAGAUGACAAAGAAAUGACCUCUCACGUAUGGAUUUUUUUUUUUUUUUUGUGUUUUAACGUCAUGUUUGGUCAGUUUUCAAUAAUUCUAUACAGUUUUUAACAUGAUUGAGUUUAGCCGCAACCUCUGAUCCAGAAAGUUUUUUGUGUCUAUAGAUUCAAUACUGUAAUUGGUAACUUUUGGCUGCAGAAUAUUUUGGAUCCUAAAUUGCAGCCAAUGGUUUCCUCGAGCUCUUAUGUCCGAAUAGUUAUCAAAGGUACCAGGAUUAUAAUACUCAAGAAAUCAUUUUUUUUCCUCAAACUUCCAAAAUGUGCUGACUAUAAUAAAACCUAGAAUGUACUCUAAAGGAGAGGUAUGUGUAACCUAGUCGUGAUUCUUUUGAAAUAAAGUGGAACCAAGUAAUUGCAAUUUUGAAAUUUUAUGAUAAAGUUGAGAUUCAAGGCCAUUUUUGGCCUAACGUCCCAUGCAUGUGAUAGCCAAGACAAAGAUACAUCAAUGUGAAGCCAUUGGGAACUUGAUAAGCAAUAGGAGUAUACAAUCAAAACAAGUUAGAGAGAGACAGAUAUGAAGGGCAGUUGUAUGAUUAUAAUUCAAAUUAUUUUCAUAAAUACAAAGUUGUUGCAUAACUGACACUUUCAAUCUUCAAAAUUGAAUUUACAACUUGAGUUCAAGUCUUGAAAUAUGAUAUUGCUGGCAAACAUGGGAAGGUAUUGUAUUGCAGUGCACCUGGCGUACUGCACACAUUGAAACAGCAUUGUUUCUGACAGUAUUAUCGCUCGUUUUUACGACAUGAAAAUCACAAUAAUAUUUCCAUUUAAAGAAGGGAAAAUUUCACACGGUGUUAUAAAAGAUAUAACAAAAUAUAAGAGACUUUUUAAAUUUUUUUGAAUGUCUUUGAACUAUUGAGGCUAAAAAUAUUUGUUAAACAAAAUGUGUGGCCUCGGUCUAUUAUAAUCUUAUAGUAUGUUAAGUAGCCAUUUAGAAGUCACUUUCACUAACUCAAAUAUUCAUAGUUCUCCGAGUUUUUGUACCGUGAAAUCUCGCACCUGAUUUAAAACGAUCUUAUGUAUUCAGAUAUUUCAUAUUUUUGUAAAUUAUGAUCGAAUUAUUAUCUUAAUGAGCUAUAUAAAAAUAAAGUUCUCUGUGUUGACUUAGAUUUGAAAUGCAUUAAGGACUGACGAAGAGUUUUUAUAAAAGAGAAUGAAGAAUAAAUUAAGCGAGAAAUGGAAAAACCUUUACAAUAGUAUAUGAUGUAAAUGAUAUUUUUGUGUAAAAUUAUGGCACAUAAACAGUCUUUGGGCUCAAUUAUAUAUGCAUUAUGCUUUUAAAAUUUACAGCUUAUGAUGUGUUCGUUUUGCAUUAAGUUACAUUAUAUUCAAAUAUGUAUUCCAAAAGAAGACACAAAUGUACGCAGCGAAGCAUUGUAUAAAAUAGAGCUGUUUUGUUUGAACUUUAAAAGUUCAUUGAAAAUUAAAAGAUACGCGUAGCGGUGUCCGAACUUCUGAAAAAAAACUUUCUUUCAAAUCAUUGUAAUAAUUUUCAUUAAAAACAAAUUGAACACUCACUAGCCUCAAAGGUAUCUAAAAUUAUAUCUAUGAUAUCUUAAUAGUUGAUCAAAGAUUGGCGACGUGUUGAAAGAGUUGUCUCUUUGAUAGUAUGUUUUGAAAAGUUUCGGCGUUUUUAAAUUUUAAGUUAUUUUCUAAGGAUAAUCAUUUGCAAUAAUUAUGAUCACAUGUUUGUACACUAUCAUUAGUGAUGUGUCAUUACACUCGCGAACUUUGUUCACAUUCUCACAUCCGUUUUUCUUCCUACAUAAAUUUAAAAACCCUUUUUAGUUUUUCUUCUCAUCUAUUUCAUAGUUUACUUUGUAAAUGUACUUUUGUACAAGAAUGCUUUUAAGUUAAAUUUAGCUAAUCACAGAUUAGAUUUGAUGAAUUUUUAAACGCAUAAACAAAUUGCACCUUCUGAAGACUUGAAAGAAUAGUCUAAGAAUAAAACAUAUGUAUUUAAAAUAAGUUUUCUUAUAGUUACACUUUUCAUAAAUUAAUACAGUAGAUGUAAGAAUGAAAGAUCAUUUUUUUAGUAUGCAUAAUUUUUUGUCUAAAAAAGGUCUCUGGUUGUUAUAAUAAAAUUUAAAGUAUUAACAAACACAUAUAGAUGUUCACUCGUUAAUUUACAUUAGGUACAGUUUAAACCCAAUCCAACAUACCCCUCAUCCAGAUCGUACUACUUAGGGAGCUACCAUUUGACUUUAAGGGGGUGGCUAGGAUGAAAAAUAUUGUUUGCAAUUUUUUUAGUUGAAAUCUCUGUCCACUCUAUUCGGUCCUGCCUUUUUUAUUAGUUUAUCCAACUUUUUUCAUGAAUUGUCAUCCUUCCUUUUUUGCCAAGUUGCUCAUCCUGUCUUUUUUAAUCAAAACUCCUGUCCUACCUUUUUUAAAUUUCAUCCUAGCACCCUCAUAAAAAUCGAAUGGUAUUUCCCUUAUUGUCUUUUAUUUUGUUUUCAGCAAUCUAGACGACCUCUAAUCUUGAAAACGCUUUAAUCUGUAUGUCAAAAGACGACGGGUGUCGCAUGGGGAGCAGGAUGUCCUCAACCUUCCGAAGCACAUAGGAUCAUCUUUGGUUUUUAUGCAGAUCUGUGUAACUCUGUUUUUUUUUUUGUUUUUUGUGUAGUGUUUUAUAUAUUGUUCUCUGUACUUUUUGCAAACACCAAUCAAUAAAAAUUUCCCGCCUUUUUUUCUUAAUCAGGUACGUUCGAGACUGAAAUCAAAAUAAAUAAACAUUUAGGAGUACCAAAACUAACAAGGGUUUUACUUACUCAUGAUCAUAAUUGCAACUUCGGGAUUUCCCUUUUAUAUAAUCAAUGUGGUAAAACAGAUCUUAUUAUGCAGUGUGUACUAUUUAACAACUGAAUGCUUCUUUUAAUAAUUUUAUUGGGGUUUAGAAGCAUUGAUUAAAGAAAAUUGUGUAUGAAGCGCGGAAGCGCUUUUACAAUAAAAAAAGUGCGAACGAUCACAUAUCAACCCUAUGAUAUUAUAAAAAGAAGCAUUUACAUUGUUAUGCUACAACCAUAGCAUUACGAUUUAAUGCAUUAUUUCAACAUUUUCACGAAUGCCACAUGCAAUCAUAGCUGUUGUAUUUUAUACGGAAAUGAAAUAUGAUACUCGCGAUUUUUGUCAGCCAAUAAAAAUUGCAGAUUCUAUUGAAAUAUACAUGUAAUUAAAUUAUCUUUUUCUUUAUAUUUUAAGAAAAUACAGAUUAAAAGUAUUAUAACAAUUUUCGAAGAAUCCACACGUGUUGCUAGAGUACUCUUUAUUACCAAUUACACUUUCAAGACCGGAACUAUUAUUUGGAAAUACCAAAUAUAAAUCUAAACCAAGAAGUUAGUUAAAGAACAGCUGAUAUUGUCUGCGG
rnacentral:lncRNA from 1 species